GGGCCUAUAGCUCAGUUGGUUAGAGCACACGCUUGAUAAGCGUGGGGUCAUAGGUUCAAGUCCUAUUAGGCCCACCA
rnacentral:tRNA from 2 species